AUUGAACGCUGGCGGCAGGCUUAACACAUGCAAGUCGAGCGGAGUGAUGGUGCUUGCACUAUCACUUAGCGGCGGACGGGUGAGUAAUGCUUAGGAAUCUGCCUAUUAGUGGGGGACAACAUCUCGAAAGGGAUGCUAAUACCGCAUACGUCCUACGGGAGAAAGCAGGGGAUCACUUGUGACCUUGCGCUAAUAGAUGAGCCUAAGUCGGAUUAGCUAGUUGGUGGGGUAAAGGCCUACCAAGGCGACGAUCUGUAGCGGGUCUGAGAGGAUGAUCCGCCCCACGGGGACUGAGCCACGGCCCAGACUCCUACGGGAGGCAGCAGUGGGGAAUAUUGGACAAUGGGGGGAACCCUGAUCCAGCCAUGCCGCGUGUGUGAAGAAGGCCUUAUGGUUGUAAAGCACUUUAAGCGAGGAGGAGGCUCUUUUGGUUAAUACCCAAGAUGAGUGGACGUUACUCGCAGAAUAAGCACCGGCUAACUCUGUGCCAGCCGCCGCCGUAA
rnacentral:rRNA from 1 species